UACGUAGGGGGCAAGCGUUGUCCGGAAUUAUUGGGCGUAAAGAGCGCGUAGGCGGUCCGAUAAGUCGGCUGUGAAAGUCAAAGGCUCAACCUUUGAAUGUCAGCGGAUACUGCCGGGCUAGAGUCCGGAAGAGGCGAGUGGAACUCCUGGUGUAGCGGUGGAAUGCGCAGAUAUCAGGAAGAACACCAAUGGCGAAGGCAGCUCUCUGGGACGGUACUGACACUGAGACGCGAAAGCGUGGGGAGCGAACAGG
rnacentral:rRNA from 1 species